UUGAANUGGGCGCAGCCUGAUCCAGCAAUGCCGCGUGAGUGAUGAAGGCCUUAGGGUUGUAAAGCUCUUUCGGCGGGGACGAUGAUGACGGUACCCGCAGAAGAAGCCCCGGCUAACUUCGUGCCAGCAGCCGCGGUAAUACGAAGGGGGCGAGCGUUGUUCGGAAUUACUGGGCGUAAAGGGCGCGUAGGCGGCGCGGGAAGUCAGGCGUGAAAGCCCUGGGCUCAACCUGGGAACUGCGCUUGAUACUCUGGCGCUGGAGUUCGGGAGAGGAGAGUGGAAUUCCCAGUGUAGAGGUGAAAUUCGUAGAUAUUGGGAAGAACACCGGUGGCGAAGGCGGCUCUCUGGACCGAUACUGACGCUGAGGCGCGAAAGCGUGGGGAGCAAACAGGAUUAGAUACCCUGGUAGUCCACGCUGUAAACGAUGUGUGCUAGACGUUGGGAGACGUAGUCUCUCGGUGUCGCAGUCAACGCGAUAAGCACACCGCCUGGGGAGUACGGCCGCAAGGUUAAAACUCAAAAAAAUUGACGGA
rnacentral:rRNA from 1 species